rnacentral:lncRNA from 1 species
UUUUUUUUUUUUUUUUGGUGAUGAGAGCGUCUGAAAACUAUUCCAUAGCCAAAUUUCCAGUAUUUAAGAAAUUAUGAUUAACUAUAGUCAUCAUUCUGUAAAUUGGAUCUUUGUUUAUCCUAUAUUAGAUCAUAUUUGUCCUACAAAACUAAGUUUCUACACUUUGCCCAACAUGUCUCUAAUUCCCUCACCUCCAUGCCACCAGUAACCCACCAUUACAUUCUCUGUUUUCAUGUAUUUGACUUUUUUAGACAGGAUAUAUAAGUGAGAUGAUUCAGUUUUUCACUUUUUGUGUCUGGGUAGUUUCACUUAGUACAAUAUCCUCUAGGUUCAUCCAUGUUGCAAAUGACAGACUCACCUUUUUUAAGGAUAAUACUUCAUCGUGUAUACAUAUAUACAUCUCACAAUUUCUUUAUUAAUUUGUCUGUUGAUGGACUCUUUAUUUUGUUUUGUUUGAUUUUUUCUUUGUAUUUAUUUGAAUAAAGUAAAUACUAAAAGAUUUUCAAAUUUAUUUCAUAGAAAUAUGAAUUAUAAGACUGUAAUUUUGUUUUUCUGUCACCCACCCAUAGUUGAUCAGGUUUUCAUAUGUGCUUUGGAACUUGUGGAGCUUAAUCAAUAUAAUGUCAUUAUCUUUUAAGGAAUUUGGCCCCGAAUAGCCAAACAGAAAAAUUCCUGACCUAAUUUAUGCAAAGAAAAUGUUUAAUAGUGAGUUAUACAGGAGGAAUAGUGGUGACCUCAUUUCUUCUCAGUAUGUUACCCUUCUUCAACUCACCGCCAAACUUGAAGUCCCUCUUCCUGCCAAAAAGAAGUGGGAUAACCCCUGUGCAUCAUAUCACAAUGCAGAAUACUGAUUCUGUAGAAUACGGGCAGCUAGCCAGAGAAUAAAGAAACUGAAAAGAACCUAUUCAGCCAUACAAGAGAAAAAGCAGAAAUAACUCCUGUGGAAAAAGAAAUUGGUUUCAGGCAUUUAUUAGAUAAUUUUGGAAGGUUUAUAAGGACUCUUAUACUUAAAGUUAUCAAAUAGGGAAUGAGGCUGAGGAUUUUCUGCAAUUAGUAAUAGGUAUUUGAUGCAAGGAAGCAAUUAUCCCAUUACAGACUAGGAUGAUGGGUCAGUAAUGGGGUAGGACACAAAGGUCAGAAUGAGCUGAAAGUGAAUAAAGACAUGAUCUAGAGUAGACAGAAUAGAAAACAUUGUCUUAGCCAGACCAGGUGAAGAGUUUUUUGAGUUCAUUAGGUAAAAUGUACAAGUUAAUCCUCUUCAUUUAUUUAAUCAUUCAACAAAUAUUUUCUGAGCAUCUAUUCUGUGCCAGUCUCAGGACUGACUGCUGGAGAGACAAUAGAGCAAAGGAGAUAUGGUUCUUCUGUUUUUGGAGAUGGCAGUCUCAUGAAGAGGGCAGAUAAAUAAAACAUCCAAAAUGUAAGUGUGAAAUCAGAACUGUGUAAUGUCCUCCCAUCCUAGGGCUCUCUGUCAUGCUGUCUGUCCUCUCGUCUCUGCCUGGGAACACGUUUGUCUGAGCUGUCUAUUUCCCUUGCUCUUUCCAGGUCGUUGCUUAAAUGUUUUCCCAAUGAAGGCUACCUUGAUUAUCCUAUUAAUAUUGGAUCCAACCCAGCUCCCUUUAUUGGCCCUUUGCCCUAUACUUUCUCCCCCUAGAAUUUAUCAUCUCUUAACAUAUGAUGGGAUUUACUACUUGACAUGUUUCUUGGUACUACGUCUAUGCUGCUUGAAUGUAAGUUUCUUAAAGGCAGGGACUUCUGGUUUUUCUUGAUAAUUGUGUUCAUAUCCCAGGUACCUGAAACAGUACCUGACACAUCAGAGGUGCUCAGUAUUUGUUAAAUAAGGGAAUAAAUGGGGCUAUGAGAAUCUAUCGAAACAUCUUAACAGUGGUCAAAACAGUGAUAAAUUACUAUACUUGACAACUCCAUUGUAAAACGUAUGUUUUCAUAAAAUUCAAGUUUUUUAGGUUUCUCAACUGAUUUGUUCAUUAAGUCCUAAGAAUUAUUAAAAAAGAAACCCCCAAAAAACAAGCAAGCCCUCUUACUCUCCAUUUCAAUUCUGAUACUUGGCUUCUGCUGAUCAGGAAAGCAGUUUCUCUGUACAAUGUUGCUUUAAUGAAAUUGAUUAUUAUCUGAUUUAUACACAUUUAACAUCAUAUACCUAGACACGUGCAACAUGGGUUAGUAUGCAUUGUGUUCAUGAUGUAUUGAAGUAGUUCCUUGGCCUCUGACUUCUCAAAUCUUUUUCGGUUCUUAGUCUUUUAAUGUGCGUAAUUUCCUUGCAGUGCUUAAUUGAUCUUCUCCAUGACUGUUUUAAUAAAAAUUGGAACUUAUUAGUAGAAUUUUUCUGCAGUUUACAGAGAACCAUUGACAUCAUAUUUGUCCUGGAGAAGUUAGAUUGCAUGGGCACAACUCCUGUGAGAGAUCCUCAGCAUAUAGUUAAAUAUUGAUGUACCAGUUGUGUGGGAAUUUAAAAAUAAGAGGACACAGGAUCUUCAAGGAGUUAGUUGCUUGGCUCUAUUAUCCUUGGAAUUGAGCUAUUAGAGAUGGUUCACUGUAGCCUAAAUUCUGGGCCAAACAUGUCUAAAUAUUGUUAUAAUUUAAGGAGACUGGUGGAGCUAACGUUUUCUGUUAAUACGUCCCCCUCCCCGUGCCUCUCUAGUGACCCCUUUAGGAUUUACCAGAAGUCUCUGUGGAAAUCAAAUCUAUGUGUAACUGUUUAUCUUUAUUCACAGAUCUGGGGUUUGCUGACAUGGGUUUCAUUAGACAUAAUAAGGAUGUCUUCUAGUCUUAGAGGCAAGUAGAAUUUUGAUGGUUCAAAAAAACUUGUUAAUGUUGCCUCAUCCUGAAGCAUGGCACCCAAGAGGUUCAGCAUUGUGAGAAUAAUGAAACUACAGAAGGAGAGCAAUGCAGGAUGAGGCUGGAGAGUUAGGAGGAGCCAGCUUAAAAGAGAAUAUUAUUCUACACUGGGGAUUUUAAACAUCAUCCUGAAGGCAGAAGUGUUCUAUUUAAAUAUUUUAUUUUUAAGACGGAGGAAUAAUAUAACCAGCAUUACGUAUUUGGAAGAUUACUAUGGCUGCACUGUGAAGAGUGUAUUGGUAGGGUGGCAGGAUGACAGGCAGGAUAAUCUACUUGAGGGAUGGUGAUGACUUGAAUUAGAAAAAUGACAAUGGAAAAGGAAGAAGCAUAGAGAUUGCCUUGAGGUGGGUGUGCAGAGGAACCAGAGAGGGAACAGAAGAUGAAACCUAUAUAUCUGGUUUUAAUAUUUAGGGUUCACUCUCAGGACAAGUAGUUCUUUUGGUUAACAGAUGCUCAACUCAUCUAUGAGCUUACAGACUUGAGCUAUUUGUCGGCAAUCAAAAAUAUCAUCUAUUUAGGCCAUUAGGUUUGUGUCUCUGGAGCUCAAGAGAGAUACUUGGAUGGAUGUCAAUAUUUGGUAUUUAUUAGUACAUAGAUGUUACUUGAAGAUGUAGUUGUAGAUGAGAUUUACCAGGAAAAGCGUGUGGAGGGAGAAGAAGAGAAACCAGCACUGUGAUUACUAGCACAGGGACAUAUACAGAAGAGAAUUCUGUAAAUAAUACUGAGAUGGAGUUGUCAAAGAGAAAGAAGGACAUCAUACUCAUAAGCAGUGGACCCAUUAUAGCUUUCAUCAUCUAAAUGGAUCUUGAAGUUCCCAAGGACAGGAAGAGUGGAGUGGAAGAGAGUUAUUGCCAAGGUCUUUAAUGCAGGAGGAGAAUGAUUAGAUGGUACUUAGUGACGGUGACUGAUGGUGACUAGGUGAGAGAGUGUGACUGGAUGACUAGAUGUCACAGGCCUCCCAGGGAUUGCAAAUAGUUGGGGAUGUGAGAGAAUGAGAAAUCUUCCUUAGCGAAGUUUGCAGGAAAAACAAGAUUUUUAGAGGAGUGUUACAAGACUGAGUGUUUAUGUCCCCCCAAUUCAUGUUGACUCCUAAUCCCCAAUGUGAUGGUACUGGGAAGUGAUUGGGUCGUGAGGGUGAAGCCCUCUUGAAUGACAUUAGCACUCAUAAAAGGCACAAGACAGUUCCCCCCGCUCUUGUGUUAUGUGAGACUCAGUGAGAAAAGGUGUGUCUGUGAACCAACAUCUUGAUCUUGGACUUCAUAGCUUCUGGAAUUGGGAGAGAUAAGUUUCUGUUGUUAAUUAACUACCUUGUUUAUGAUAUUCUGUUAUAUCAGCUCAAAAUGACCGAGGCCAGCUUGACUUAAGGCAUGAAAAGGAUAAAGGAAACAAUUUUACAGGACUGCACAUAGAGGGAUUUGUAUGUAAUUCAGGACUUAGGAUUCUUGAACGUACAGUGAAAAGGUUUGGGUAGAGAUGGGCAAUAGAUGGUGUGUUAAGGGGAAAGCAGCACAGAGCAUUUUAUGGUGGUGAUAUGGCAGAUGAUAGCCAACAUGAAGCUAAAGAUUGCAGGGAUUUGAGGGGGGCGGGUUUAACUCUCAAUAAAAUUGCUAAUCACCUAUAUGUGGUAGAGUUCUUAGGUAUCUUAGGAGUCAUGUUUGGCCAUUAGAAUCCUGAUUUUU